AAAAUUCGAGGCUUUUUUUUGUGGCAAAGGAUAUUCUAUUUUUGUAUCUCCUUGCUCUCCACAAUGUCUUGAUUCUCACAACCAUGACACUAUCACCAGUUUCUCCAUAGUAAGUCCUGGUCUUUCCUUAUCAUCUAUACGACAGGACCGGAGGGGUAUUGAUAAUGAACAGUGCAGCAAUUGUCCUGCAUUUGUGAUGGCAGCAGGGUGCAGAGAUGGUAGCUUGAAAUUGUGGAGAAGUAAUAGGACUGAAGAAUCUGCUGCCACUAUCAGAUGG
rnacentral:lncRNA from 1 species